rnacentral:rRNA from 1 species
UACAGAGACUGCAAGCGUUAUUCGGAUUCACUGGGCGUAAAGGGUGCGCAGGCGGCCAAGUGUGUUAGGCGUGAAAGCCUGGGGCUUAACCCCAGAAUUGCACCUAAAACUACAUGGCUAGAGCAUUGGAGAGGGUAGCGGAUUCGACGGUGUAGCAGUGAAAUGCGUAGAUAUCGUGAGGAACACCAGAGGCGAAGGCGGCUACCUGGACAAUUGCUGACGCUCAGGCACGAAAGCGUGGGGAGCAAAAGGG